AAGCUGCCACCGCUGCAUCGCCGGCUUCGGGAGCUCCCGCGUUUGUGCUCGUGGUAGAAUUCUUGUGACGUGCCACGAAGACGCCUUGAACGGCAGCUUGCCCUGUUUGCCUUGACAUUAACUCCAUGGAUAACCCCCUGCAGCCGGGCAGGAUCUUUGCUAGGCUGCAGACGCCUCUCAGCCGACGGAUGCUGUGGUUGUGCUCUGCAAGGUGUCUGUUCCCGGGGCAAAGCGCUGUGUAAAUCCCUAAAACAGCACGAGCUGUGAGCAGAGAAGUGACCACCAGCCCUCACCCUGGGCCUGCUCUGUGGAAGGACAAAGGUUUGAAGAGUCUUCACCCCGCUCCCAGCCCACUGGCAGGAUGGUGCAGGGCUCCUGGGAGCAGUUUCUCAUUGUGGGCAUUGGUUUCCUCAACAAUUUUGGCUAGACAAGAGGUAAUUGUGGCUGGAGAACGGUGCUUUGCCUGUGCAGGGUUCUUCUGGGGGCAAAUAAAGGCUGGUGGUGCCCAUCCAUGGGCUGGGAUGUGGGAAAUGGGAGCUCCUGAGCUGUUUGCUCCUCUGCAGAAGGAAAGGAAGGAGGGACAAGCACUCCCAUUUUGCUAAAUAAGGAUAAGGAAUUGGUGGCAUAGACAGGGCAGGACUCUCCUUGAGAUCCUGCAGGUGUGGAGAAGAGCUUUGUUCCAGCAGGUGGGAUGGGAGGUGUGAGCACCACAUGCUGCCAGGUUGUUUCUUGGUGGCAGAAGAGGUGAAAAUGAAAGAGGUGUUGGAAGGAGGAAGGUGUUGAGCAGAGGCUUCAUUUACAGGGAAAGGUGUUGGAAUUGUGUAGAGUGGGAGCAGCAGGGUGAGGAGCUGGUGGAGUGGCUCUUUCCAACCCCACAUUGCUUUGGUCCCGCUCUGUUAAAAGCCAAAAGCACAGCAGCUCUUAGGGGGAUGCAGAAUAAGUGGGGAUUUAAAGCUUUAGGGUUGGAGAAUGUGAAGCCAGGGCUCCCACAUGGUUCCUGUAACAGCAGCAAAGCAAAGCUGUGGUAAUGUUUGAUUUGGUGAGAGUGAGGAGCUUCAUUUCAAGAGGUGAAAACUCUGUUUUUUUUAAUGAAAGCUUCAUCCCUGCUGCAGAAGGGCUUGGCUGAGGCCUCAGUGCAGGAUUGGCUGAGUGCAGCACCACUUCAUCCCCUUCAGCUCCCAGUGCCUUAAACACUUCAGAAAUAAUACUCUUAUCCAGGAAUCCUGGUGGCUUGGGAACCCUGGGGAUCCUGUCCUGGAUGCAGAUGUGAGCUGCUCCAUCCCAGUGGUGCCUGCUGGGGUUUAGGGGGUAAAGGGAUGAUGGUUCCAGUGUGGAAGGAACAUUCCCAGGGCACUUGCUGCCUCCAGAUUCCUGGGAGAAGCUGUGGAGCAGAGUAGGAAGAAUGAGCUGCUCUGUAGCACUGAUAUUCCCCAUUCCCUGUAAUUUUUCCCUCAUUUAAGGACAGUUUCUUUGGCACUGUGUAAUUGUGUAACUGCUGGAUUUGGCCCUUCAUCUAUGGAGGAACUUUCUUACCUGUGACACUGUUGGUGCUCCUUGAAACUGUUAAAAUAUUCUGUAGCUUUUUAUUAAAUACAAACCACCUAAUUUUGGGCUUAAAAUAACCUGUUUCACAGUUUAAAGGUGUGUUUCUGUAGGGGAAACAACUCUCUUGCCACCUUAAUUUUAAAAAAGUGGAUGAGAAGUAAAAAGGGUGAGGAAAAAAAAUAGGAUAAUUAAAUCUCCUUAAUAUUUUAAAAAUAUUAAUAUUUUAAAAAUAAUAAAUUAAUAAAAUUAACAAAAG
ensembl:lncRNA